GAAGAGUUUCUUUCCCUGUCCUCAGC
rnacentral:piRNA from 1 species